AGCAUCAUAAUCAAAUAGGGGAGGCCAUUUUUUUUCUUCUUCGGAUUCUUAUAGACAAUUCUAGGAAGGUCCAUGGAAAAAAAGAAGGCAUCUUCCAUUUGUAUAUUGAUAUAAUUAAUAUCCAGUAACAAAGAAGGGAGGACACAAGAUUGAUUUCUCCUUCACGUUUUCACACAGCAUAGGCACCAGUAGGUUUUGUUCUUCCUUUUCUUCUCCACUCAUCCUCAUGCAUACGACACUCCUUCACCUAUCUCGCACCCAUCUCACACCCAUCACUCGCUAUACACCCUCACAGAAGACGAGAGAGAGGGGGAUAAACGCAAAUACGAGAGCUGGGGGGAACACACCAUUUCUUUUUCUUUUUUUUCUCUUUUGGGAUCUUCUUCUUCUUCAUACACAGAAAACACACACAAACAGGGGCUGAUGAACUUCAUCCCCUUUUCCUUUUAGGUAGAAGAUAAAUACACCAAAAAGGGGACCCGUUUUCAUUUUCUUUUCCUUCGUUGCUGUUAGUUUUAAAUGUCAAGCUCGAAGAGCUUUUUCAGUUGAGGUUGUUUAUUGAGGUUCUUGAUUCCAGUUACCGGCUUGUCGUCAAUUUCAUUUUGCUCAACUAUGAAUCUGGUUCAUGGAUUGAAUUCAGAAUCACAUUCAUUCCAUUCGAGUUUGUGAAUUGAAAUCGAAAGCCACAUUAAGGUUCAUUCCUUAUCUCUUCCUUCACUAAUAUUUAAGUUAUUGAUACUCCGUGGCUUGGAUCUGUGGUGUUUGAAUUUUGUUUUAGUUGAUUUGGACACAUUUGAAUCAUCAUAAAUGAUUGUUGAUAGCGAUCGAUUGAUUGGAUGAAUUAGAUAUUUAAAUGAAUCGGACUUAGUUUAGGGUGAAUCAUGAUUUUGGGAUGGUAUUGAAAAUCAUCUAAUCGAAAACUUUGCUUUGUUUAUUUGGAUUGUUAAUUUUGAUUCAUGGAUGUUAUUAAAUGCAAUAGUAUCAUGUUUAGGUCGACUAUUGAUAGGCAAAUAUAAGUGGGUUAGGCAAAGUUUAUGACUUGCGAUCGUUAAAUGAUGAAAGUGUUUUGUUGAAAUACAUUGGUUUAUGUUUUUGGAUUGAAGUGUAUUCAUUUGGUCAGGGAAUGCCCCAAAGAUUGAUGUAUUUAUUCACCGGGGAAUGUCCCGACGUACUAUGUUGGCUGAAGAUGUUCGUGAGGAAGGCCCAAGGCGUCGGGUAAAGCCGGAGAGCAUAGUUAGGAUUAGUAUAGGUUAGAUAGAAUUUAUUUUCGCAUUUUUAUUUAUUUUUGGGACUGUAUAAUUGAACUGAACACUAUACUUUUAUUCGUUUUGUUUGGUUUGUUGGUUUGAUUACUUUACGUGCUUCUUUGUGGUUUGUACAUUCGUAGUAUCAAAAUUAGCUGAUACGCUCCACCAAGCGACCGUGGUUGAACCACGGGAUCGAGGGGUGCCUAACACCUUUCCCUCGGUCAACAGAAUUCCUUAGUCGGAAUCUCUAUUCGCAAACUAGUUUAAGGAGUCAAAUUAUUUUGAAAAGAAUUUUCCAAAGGUGACUUGGCACACCGGAUUAUGCCAUGUGGCAACUCUGUGCUUUGAAUGUAAAAAUAAUCCUUUUUUUGGAAUGAAUCUUCACUUUAAUAAUAAAAACCCUUUCAAACUUCAAAAUGAAUCUUUUGGUCAGAAAAAGGGUGUGACAGCUCUGGCGACUCUGCUGGGGAAUCAUUUUCAGAAUUCGAGCUUAUUUUUGGAGUUGUAUCGGCUUAGUUUGGCAUUAGGGGUGUAUAAACAUUAUUUGUGUUUAUUUUACAUUAUUGAGUGCUUACGUGCUCUUUGUUUACGAUUUUCCUUUAUGUGUUACCGUUUUAUAUCUGACGUCAUUUGCAUAACCCGAGUCAAUUCUUUCUGCAACAAGUAUCGGAGUGUACGUCGUGUACACGAACUCUAGUUGAGUCACCCUUAUUUUAGGAAGGGGAUCCGUCGGACGUAUGGAGUGGGUGUAAAGCUGUCGCAGCCACUAUCGACCAUACGCUCACCUGAACAGCCUUGUUAGUGAACGCCAGCGUAGGUCAUCCUUUAGGUCAUAUUUAUGUGCAUCAUAUUGAGACCUAGUGGGGCUCACUUGGUCCUUCAUAGGAGGCUCAUCCAUAAGGCAUCUCUACAUGCUAACUGUUGCACUUUUGAGGGUAAGGGGUCAUUUGACGGACUGAUUCGGGAAAAGCAUGUGUUAGAAGUAAGAGGUGUUGGAAAAAAAAGAAAAAAAGAAAUAAAAGAAAAAAAUGAGUCAAAAAGGGUUUCGUAGCUUUUAGUAUUCUUUAUGGCUUUAGUUUUUCAUAAUUCAAAAAUUCAAAAAAACUUUUUACCUUUCACACUUAUUUUCUCAAAAAAAAAACAAAAUUUCAAAAGGAUUUUCCCUUUAUUUCCUUUAGCAUGCAUUCAAAAUUCAGAAAUUUCAAAAAAAUAUUUUCUUUAGAAGUUUCAAAAAUGGUAGUAGUUGUGUCCAUUUCAUAAAAUGAAAAUGCCAAAAAGAUUUUUCUUUCAUAGUUGUUAGUGUCAGUCUUAUAUGAAUUGUCUAAAUGAAAACUCGAAAAGAUUUUAUUUACAUUGUUCAUCGUCUGUCUUUGGUCGUGUCUCUUAAGUCAGGGUUCAGUUCAUUAUUUAAUCUUCAAUUGUCCAAUCUGGACGAACUACGCACCCCUGAUUCUCCUCUUUCGGGAGUGAGAUACGUAGGCAGCUUAUUGUUGGUUCGGGGAUCUUAUUUGAAAAAAAUCCAAAAAGAUUUUUCUCACUCUUUAUUUAGAGUAAGUGUUUCAUGUACAUCUUUAAAAGAAAACCGCAAAAAGAUUUCCCUUUAAUAGGUUCAGGUUUCAUUUUCAUAUGAAAUUUAAAACUGAAACCCCCCGCCCCCCAAAAAAAUAAAAAGAAUUCUUUGGUUAUCAUAGAUUUCACUUUGUAUAGGGAUGUUAAAGUUGAAAAAUUCAAAAAUAUUUUCGUCAAUUCUUUUGACAAAUUGUUAUUUUCUUUUCUUCUUAAAGUUUCGAGAAAAAGAAAGAAAAAAAAUGAGUUUGAUUGGUCAUUUUGGCAAGACUUCACGAACUACGCACACCUGAUUCUUUUCUCUCGGAAGUGAGAUACGUAGGCGCCCUUUUCGGGUUUGGUGACCUUUUUUUUUUUUUUUUUUUUUUUAAAAAAAGAGGUUUUGAAAAAGUGUUGAACUCUAACACAUUUUCUCUCUUGUUCAGUUAGUUUAAAGUAGUUGGUUUGUGGCAUUUUGGUUGAUCCUCCAUAUUGCACCAAGUCACAGAGAAUCUUAUGGCCAACAAGGAUACUGAGUUUGUUGUCACUAACCAGAUAGGGAGUUCAGAAAAUGAGAAUUUAGGAUCUAGUGAAGAGAUUCAGAAAUUAAGGCAGCAAAUGAUAGAAAUGCAUCGAGUUUGGGCUAAUGGGCUGCCUCCUCCUCCAGUUCCUACUGAUAAUCUGAAAUAUCUUUCUAGCUUGCCUCCCGUGUCACAUGCACAAUUUUCCAUUUUUUUUUAUUUGCCACAACAUACAUCAGGAUCUACUUCGGGGAAACUAUAUCCAAUCACUUCCAAUGUUCAUUUCCUCACUCCCAAAUCCAAGACUACUACAUACUCGGCUCCACAUGCUGUUCAUGCUUUUGUGGUGCCACCCCCACCUGAAGCUCCUACUUUUGAUAUUCAUCCACAAGUUGUGCCUCCCUACUCUACAAGAGAGCCUGCAUUGAAUAUUACUGGUGAUCAGAGUUACACUUUUGACCCUACAUUCAAGUUGACUGGUCUUUAUGGUGACACUUACUCGCCUGAAUUUCCUCCUAACACUAAGAAGCCUGUUAUGACAGAAGAACAAGAGGAAAUGACCAGAAAAUUGAGAAGUUUGGAAAUGGCUAUGAAGAACUUGCAAGGACUUGGGGGUUACAAAAGUGUCUCAUAUAAGGACUUAUGCAUGUUUCUAGAUGUCAACCUUUCUCCUGGCUUUAAAAUGCCAAAGUUUGAGAAAUAUGAUGGACAUGGGGACCCAGUGGCACAUUUGAGGCCCUAUUGUAACCAAUUAAGAGGUGCUGUAGGGAAGGAAGAACUACUCAUGACUUAUUUCGGGGAGAGUUUUUCAGGCCUAGCUUCGAAAUGGUUUGUUGACUAAGACAUUGACAAGUGGAUUAGUUGGGAUGACCUAGCUAAUGAAUUUGUAAAACAAUUUCAAUACACUGUGGAGUUGAUCCCUGACGAAAAAUCCCUAACUAGUAUAAAAAAGAAGAAUACUGAGAUUUUCAGGGAGUAUUCGAUCAGAUGGCGUGAACAAGCUGCUAGGGUGAAACCGCUAAAGAAAGAAAGUAAUAUAGUGGAGGUAUUUAUUCAAGUGCAGGACGAAACAUAUUAUCAACACUUGUUGCCUGCAUUAGGCAAGCCGUUCAUUGGGGUCCUUAAAAUGGGGGAGAUGAUAGAAGAGGGAAUUAAGACUGGUCGUAUUAUGAGUUUUGCAACAUUGAAAGUGACUACUCAAGAAAUUCAAAAGGGUUCAGGAAGUGUUGGGGAGAAAAAGAAUGAGGAAGAAGCAUCUGCUAUUGUAGUUAGACAGCAGGAUAGGUUAAGAAGAUCACGUCAUCGUCGCUCUCAAUCUCAAGCUCAAGUUUAUACCCAAGCUCCACAUAAUCACUCCCAAAAUCUAUUAUACUCUAUUUCUCCACAUCCAUAUCUAGUGUAUAAUGCACAAUCAUAUGUUCAACCCUCAUCUUACCCACAAUGGCAUACCUUAACGCCCCAGAGUCAUCCUCUAACUUCACAAACGUACCAAAACCCUUUUAGGCUAGAUUUUCUAUCCAAGCCAAAUAAUGAAAUGAGGCAGAAGUCGAGAGAUAGCUUCACACCAAUUGAAGAGUCAUAUGCCAGUUUAUUUCAGAGAUUAGUACAGGAGGGCAUGAUCACUCCUCUUCUUGGGUGCACUCUUAAUCGACGUUCAAGAAAUUUUGACCCUAAUAUACGAUGUGCGUAUCAUUCUGAUGCUCAGGGUCAUAGUAUUGAAGAUUGUCGAGAUUUGAAAAUGAAAAUUAAAAAGAUAAUUCAAGAUGGAACAAUUAUGGUGCAGAACAUUGACAGUGAAGGAAGCUUUAGUUAUGUUGAUAUGCAAACCAGUGACUAAGUUGUCAGGCUGAGCAAUUGAGAAGUCACCCCUCUCUCUACUAGGAAGAGGUCUGGUAGUUUGUUUUAUUUUGUUUUCUAUUUUUCGAAGCAUUUUAGGGUUGUAGUUCGGGACUUAUCUUGUUUUUUCCCUUUGUCGUUUAUGUUCAAACUCUUUUAUCUUUUAUUUCAACUAAAUGAAGUGUCCCUUUCCUUUUAUGUUUCAAAUAUGUGUUGUUUGUUUGUUUUCUUUAUAUAGUACAUUUUAUGUUGAUUCUAGUGAUAUGACAUGCCUGCGGAAUUUUCAGUCAGAUCUGAAAAUCCAGUUUAAGCAUGAACAUUGAUUAGAGGGUUAAAGUUAGAAAAGAGAGCAUCUGAGAAAAUAGGUAGAGUGCUGAGACAUUUGGUAACAAGUUCAAGCCUUCUUUGAAAAUUAAGGCAGUUAUUUUGAGAAUCACAAGAAUAACUUGGUCAUCAAUUGAAAGACAUGUCUUAAUUAGGUCAAACAGUGUCUAUGUAAUCCUAUCAAGAGGAACGAAAAGAAAAUUAACUCCACAAAAGCAUGAGUCAUUCAAUGUGAUGGACAUACAACGAAGGUGGAGUUGUAUGUUUGACAAGUGUAGAGGAAGAAGUAGCACCAUGCUCAAUUAAGGAUAGUGUUGUUAAAUUAUCAAAUGAUCUUCAUUUUUCAUUUCAUAUUGCAUGAUAUGUACUUACAUUUUUAAGGAUUGACAUGACGAAGGCAUUUCAUUUUGCUAUCCAAACAUCGCAUCAUCCUUUGUUUACCCCAUUUGAGCUUUAGUCCUAUUUUCUUUCAUACCCCUCUUUUGGAAUCAAGAUAGAGUCAACAAAAUUCAAAAAAAAAAAUGUGUCGAAAAAGAAAGAAAAGAUGAGUGUCAUAAAAAAUAGAAUAAAAAAAACCCAAAGAGAAAAAACCCAAAAAAAAGAAAGAAAAAAUAGAUCAAAAGAAAGAACAAGUUGCCAGAACUACGCGUGACCUGAUUCUCCUCUCUCGGGGAUGAGAUACAUAGGCUGCCCUACUCUGGGCUCGGUCUAACCAAAUCAACAAGUUAGAAUUGCCCAAUCAAAAGAAAUUGGGGCAUGAGUUAAUCCUCAUUGUUUGAGUCGAUUCCAAAAGUUGUAAGUCCUACCCCACUUCAAGUGUCGUUUGGGACUCAUGCUAUCCUUUCUUUCUAACCCUAUCCAAAAGCCAAGUUACAACCACAGAAAGACCUUCAGAUCAAUCUUUGAGGAUGUUAAGGCUAAGCAUACAAAGGAUAUGAGGAUGCAUUUAGGGAACUACUUAUCUUCCUCAGCAUAAGGAAUUAAGAGAGAAAUAAAAAUGAGAGAUCCUUAUUGGUGAAAACCUUCACAAGCACCGUAAGGUGAUGGUAAGUUGAGAGAAAUAAAAAUGAGAGAAUCUUAUUGGUGAAAACCCUUAUGGUCACCAUAAGGCGAUGGUGAGCCGAGAGAAAAAUGAGAAAGGCUUGAUGGCGAAAACCCUUUAAGGUGUCAUUAGCAAAAUGAGGCCUUGAAUAUAAUUGACUUAAGAAAGCAAUUUAGUUUUAAGACCAUUAACUCAACAACAACUGGUAGAAGGUUUGGAUGGAAAGAUCAGGAAGCUUAAUCCAAAAUGCAUGGCAUAAUCAUUAGAGUUGACUGUCAUUUUUUUAUCGAAUUUUUAGUUCUUUGUUUUAAAUGGGGACAUUCGUUGUCUUCUCUUUCUUUUUUUUUAUUUUUAUUUUAUUUUCUUGAGUCAGUUAUCCAAAUAAAAAAAAUUAUUGUCAUUUUUCUCAUCUUUGAGUCAAGUCCAUAUCAAAAUAAGUGAGAAAAAAUUUCAAAACUGGCUACCAGAUUCUUCAAUUGCAAAAAGCAAAACAAAGGCCAAAACAUGAAAGAGACAUGAUUGUGAGCCAAAAUAAGGCAUACAGAAAGUUCUGUCAAAGAUAAGUCUGGGAACUCAUGAAAAUACCAAAGUUCAAAGGGUUUAUCUGAAGAGCAUGGCAAAACAAAGAUAUUGUAUCUAUUGCAAAGUCACUCUUAAUAAUAUGAGUUUGGGUUGAUAAUGCAUCAAGUCAAUGAUAUAUAUAAUGGUUGGAAGAAAGGUUAAAUGUGAUGAUGGCAAGAGCAUUUUCCACAAAAGCCAAAGCCACAAACCAGCCACCAUGUUUUUAAACUCACAACCUUUCUUUGUAUAAAAUAGGAGCACAUGUUACCUUCAAAUCAAGGAUUUUAAAGCCUAAACAUCAAGGCCCGUAAUUUCUUACUUUUACAAACGCAGGAAGCAAUGUUGCUGCACAGGUUUGAUAAUUAAAUCAUGGUAAAAAUUCAUCAUCUUAUAUCCCUCGGAGACACACUUUCUUGUCCAGGAAUUUCAGUUUUCAUUUGUUGGGUGAUACACUUCUUAAAUUGAACUUUCACUCCUAGAAGACGUACUUUCUAGUCGAUUAAUCCCCUUUGACUCUUAGAAGGUGUACCUUUUAGUUGAGUCAUUUUCCUUAAUUCCUAUAACACGUACCUUUUAGUCGAGUCAUCACCCUUGACUCCUAUAAGAUUUACCUUUUAGUCGAGUCAUUCCCUUGAUUCCUAGAAGACGUACCUUUUAGUCGAGUCAUCACCCUUGAUUCCUAUAAGACGUAUCUUUUAGUCGAGUCAUCUUUCUUUGAUUCCUAUAAGACAUACCCUUUAGUCGAGUCAUCUCCCUUGAUUCCUAUAAGACGUACCUUUUAGUUGAGUCAUUUUCCUUGACCCCUAGAAGACGUACCCUUUAGUCGAGUAGUUCCCUUUGAUUCCUAUAAGACAUACCUUUUAGUCAAGUCAUUUUCCUUGAUUCCUAUAAGACAUACAUUUUAGUCGAGUCAUUUCCCAUGACCCCUAGAAGACGUAACUUUUAGUCAAGUCGUUUCCUUUGAUUCCUAUAAGACGUACCCUAUAGUUGAGUCAUCUCCCUUGAUUUCUAUAAGAUGUACCUUUUAGUCGAGUCAUUUCCCUUGAACCCUAGAAGAUGUACCUUUUAGUCAAGUCGUUUCCUUUGAUUUCUAUAAGAUGUACCCUUUAGUCGAGUCAUACCCCUUGAUUCCUAGAAGGCGUACCUUUUAGUCAAGUCAUUUACCUUGAACCCUAGAAGACGUAACUUUUAGUCGAGUCAUUCCCUUUAAUUCCUAUAAGACGUACCUUUUAGUCGAGUCGUUCUCUUUGAUUCCUAUAAGAUGUACCUUUUAGUCGAGUCAUUCUCCUUGAUUCCUAUAAGACGUAGCUUUUAGUCGAGUCAUUCCCCUUGACCCCUAGAAGACGUACCUUUUAGUCGAGUCAAUUUCUUUGAUUCCUAUCAAACGUACCUUAUAGUCGAGUCAUUAUCCUUGAUUCCUAUAAUGAUAUGACUUUCACAAAAGUCCUUUGAUGAUAAACUAGAGCAAAAUUUAAUUCUUGUUUUUGAAACUUUACUUUUCUGGCAAACAUAAUUUCUCUUUAUAAUAAUUUUUGUUUGGGAUAAUCUUCUUUCCAGUUUUGAUGUGAUUCCAGGAGCCUUCCCGAAGCACAGGGUGAAUAAAUGGAAAACCAAGCAACAGGGUGAAGAAAUUAAAAGCAUAGCAACAAGUUGAUGAAACAACAAGUCAUGAACCCACCUGGAGAACCGGGUGUAGAAAUUGAAAAGCAUAGCAACAAGUUGAUGAAAUAGCAAGUCAGAACCUGCCUGGAGAACAGGUUGUAGAAAUUAAAAGGCAAGCAACAAGUUGAAGAAAUUGUAAGUCAGGAUCCCGCCUGAAGAAUAGGGUGAUGAAACUCAAGUCAAGAGUCCAAAAUAAGUUAUGUAGAUAGGUUUUUGUAAUUUCAUUUAUGUUUUUAACUUGUAAUUUUUAUUUUGGAUGUAAUGACAGAGCCGCGGACCGGAACGUCGAUGGAACCUCACUCGACUCUCCAAUUCAGUAUUGUCCCUCUUUUUCAAAUCUUUUGAAAUACCCGUCACUUGAUUCCUCCAUAACUUGGGUGGGUAGGACGUCCUAAGUCAGAACUUAGUUGCUCUUUUUCCUUCUGUUUAUCUGAAUAAUGGCCGGGAUAAAAUUUUAUCUCGUUGUCUACUUCUUUGUCUGAAAACACUUCGUGUUUCCAUUCAAAGGGGGCAUGAUGUAGACACCUAAUUUCGCCCCUCCCUGAUAUUAUUUUCACCCAUAUUACCUUAUCCUACUGCUUACCCUACCCCGUAUGAUAAUCCCUUCGCAAAAAGACAAAAAAAAUAACAAACCAACAACCUACCCUAUCAAAUGGCAACACCUCACCUUACUACCUACCUACUCCACGUGACCCCACCAUCCUAACCCCUUAACAGAAUUGGAAAAAGACAUAUAUAGAGGAACAUCAUAAUCAAUUGGGGGAGGCUAUUUUGCUUCUUAUUUGGAUUCUUAUAGACAAUUCCAGGAAGGUCCAUGGAAAAAAAGAAGGCAUCUUCCAUUUUUAUAUUGAUAUAAUUAACAUCCAGUAACAAAGGAGGGAGGACACAAGAUUGAUUUCUCCUUCACUUUUUUCACACAACAUAGGCACCAGAAGGUUUUGUUCUUCCUUUUAUUCUCCACUCAUCCUCAUGCAUACGACACUCCUCCACCCAUCUCUCACCCAUCUCACACCCAUCACUCAUUAUACACCCUCACAGAAGAUGAGAGAGAGGGGGACAAAUGCAAAUACAAGAGCUGAGGGGAACACACUAUUUCUUUUUCCUUUUUUUUUAUUUUGGGAUCUUUUUCUUCUUCGUGCACAGAAAGCACACGCAAAUAGGGGCUGAUGACCUUCAGCCCCUUUUUCUUUUAGGUAGAAGAUAAACACACGAAAAAGGGGACCCAUUUUUAUUUUCUUUUCCGUCAUUUCUGUUGGAUUUCGAUGUUGAGCUCGAAGAGCUUUUUCAGUUGAGGUCGUUCAUCGAGGUUCUUGAUUCUAGUUACCGGCUUGUCGUCAAUUUCAUUUUGCUCAACUAUGAAUCUGGUUCAUGGAUUGAAUUCAGAAUCACAUUCAUUCCAUUCGAGUUUGUGAAUUGAAAUCGAAAGCCACAUUAAGGUCUAUUCCUUUUCUCUUCCUUCACUAAUCUGUAAGUUAUUGAUACUCCGUGACUUGGAUCUGUGGUGUUUGAAUUUUGUUUUAGUUGAUUUGGACACAUUUGAAUCAUCAUAAAUGAUUGUUGAUAGCGAUCGAUUGAUUGGAUGAAUUAGAUAAUUAAAUGAAUCAGACUUAAUUUAGGGUGAAUCAUGAUUUUGGGAUGGUAUUAAAAAUUGUCUAAUCAAAAAUUUCAUUUUGUUUAUUCGGAUUGUUAAUUUUGAUUCAUGGAUGUUAUUAAAUACAAUAGUAUCAUGUUUAGGUCGACAAUUGAUAGACAAAUAUAAAUGGGUUAGGUAAAGUUUAUGACUUGCGAUCGUUAAAUAAUGAAAGUGUUUUGUUGAAAUGCGUUGGUUUAUAUUUUUGGAUUGAAGUGUAUUCAUUUGGCUGGGGAAUGUCCCGACGUACUAUGUUGGCAGAAGACAUUCGUGAGAAAGGACCGAGGCGUCGGGUAAAGCCGGAGACCGUAGUUAGGAUUAGUAUAGGUUAAAUAGGAUUUAUUUUCCCUUUUUUAUUUAUUUUUGGGACUGUAUAAUUGGACUGAACACUAUACUUUUAUUCGUUUUGUUUGGUUUGUUGGUUUGAUUGCUUUACGUGCUUCUUUGUGGUUUGUACAUUCGGAGUGUCAAAAUUAGCCGAUACGUUCCAUCAAGCGACCGUGGUCGAACCACGAGAUCGAGGGGUCCUAACACCUUCCCCUUGGUCAACAGAAUUUCUUAGCCAAAAUCUCUGUUUGCAAGCUAGUUUAAAGAGUCAAAUUAUUUUGAAAAGGAUUUUUCAAAGGUGACUUGGCACACCGGAUUAUGCCAAGUGGCGACUCUGUGCUUUGAAUGUAAAAAAAAAAAUUCUUUUUUUGGAAUGAAUCUUCAUUUUGUCACUUUAAUAAUAAAAACCCUUUCAAACCUUAAAACGAAUCUUUUGGUCAGAAAAAGGGGUGUGACACCUAUUCAGGGCAACAAAGGUACAAUAUAAAGUUUGGUUAUUAUCGUAUUAAAAAUCUUGAAGCAUUUAUAGCUUCCAACAAUUAGGAUUCACUUUGUUUCGUAACUAACAUUCAGUUAAAGUUUAAAGAUUCUUGUAAACUAAAAUGCAUUGCGUAGGUUUAUCGUAUUAUAAACUAUUUCUAUUUUAUAAGUAUUUUCUUAUUGGUUAAACCUAAAACCGAACCUUUAAGGAACAAAAAUUGAUAAACCAGAACCGAUGAGAAAAUAUCUUAUUGGUUGGUUAUUGGUUUUACAUAUUUAAAACUCAAAAACCGAUAAAUCGAAUUAAUAACACGUAAAACCGAAUCGAACCAAAUCGAUCGAUGCACACCCCUAGCCUAGUAUGGGCCGACGGGGCUAUUUCGAUGGUUAAAUGGGCAAAACAAUGCGAAUGGGCAAUUUUUGGGCAAAAUUGGUUUUUAUAGCCUAAGGUUCAGGGGUAGGCCCGAGGCCUGGGCGUAUUUUGGGCAAAAAUCAAUUGGGGGACUUCAAGAAGACUCUAGAGUGGCCUAGUAUGGGUUGGAGGAGUUGGUGGGGCUAUUUGGGUGGUCAAAAGGGUGAAACAGCGUGAACAGACAUUUUUGAGCUAAAUCGUUGUGCUAAAUCCCACGGUUCCUUGGGUGGGCCCAGGGCAUAGUGUGUUUUAGGACAAAAAUUGAUGAGAGACAUCUAAGCAGGCUGAGGUGUGACCUAGUGUCAACCGACGAGGUCUAUGGGGCCAUUUGGGUGGUCAAACGGUCAAAACGGCGUGACCGAGCCAUUUUAGCACAAAAUUGGUGUGCUAUAGCCCAUGGUUUCAGGGGUGGUCCUAGGGCUCGGGCAUAUUUUAGACUGAAAAUCAACUAGGCCCCUCAUGCAAGCGAGGAGCAGCAUAGUAUGGGUCGGCAGAGCCAUUUGGGUGGUCAAAUGGGCAGAACGAUGCAAACAGACCAUUUUCGAGAUAAAUCAGUACUCUGUAACCCACGGUUUAAGGGGUGAGCCCGGGGUACAUACGUAUUUUAGGCUGAAAAUAGAUUGGGCCCCCCAAGCAGGCUGGGGAGUGACAUAGUAUAGGCCGGCGGAGCCAUUUGGGUAGUCAGAUGGGCGAAACAACAUGAACGGGCCAUUUUCAGGCCAAAUCGGUGUGCUAUAGCCCACGGUUCUGAGGUUGGGCCCAAAGCGCGGGUGUGUUUUGGGCUAAAAAUUGAUCUGGAUCCCCCAAGUAGGCUGAGGAGCAGCCUAGUAUUGGGCAGUAGGGCUAUUUGGAUUGUCAAACGAGUGAAACGGCGCAAACGAACCAUUUUUGGGCAAAAUCGGUGUGCUAUAGCCAACAGUUUAGGAGGUGGACCCAGAGAUCGGAGGUGUUUGGAUCGAUCGAGGGCCCCCAGAUAGUCUGAGAAGUGACCUAGUAUGGGUCAGCGGGGCCAUUUGAGUGGUCAAAAGAGCAAAACGACGUAAACAAACCAAUUUUGGGCCAAAUCGGUGUGCUAUAGCCCAUGGUUACGGGGGUGGGCUUGGGGCUUGAGUGUAUCUUUUGCUAAAAAUUGAUGGGGUACUCUCAAAAUAUCUGAGGAAUGACCUAGUGUGGGACGACGGGGUCGAAGGGGUUAUUUUGGUAGUCAAACGGGCAAAAUGGCAUGAACGGACCAUUUUUGAGCCAAAUCAGUGUGUUAUAGCCCACAGGUCGGGGGGAGGGGGUCUCUGAUGUAUUUUUCAUCGAAAAUCAAUCGGAGCCCCCCAAGAAGGUUGAGGAGCAGCCUAGUGUGUGUCGGUGGGGCCAUUUGGGUGGUCAAACGAGCAAAAUGGCACGAACGAACCAUUUUUGGACCAAAUCGGUGUGCUAUAACCCAUGGUUUCAAAGGUAGGCUCGAGGCCCGAAUAUUUUUUGGUCGAAAGUCAAUCGAGGGUCCUAAGGCAGGCUGAGAAUCGCCCUAGUAUGGGCCGACUGGGUCGGCGCGACCAUUUGGGUGGUCAAACGGGCGAAACGACCUGAACAGGUCAUUUUUAGUCAAAUCGGUGUGCUAUAUAUCCCACGGUUUCGAGGGUGGACCCAGUACCCGAGCACGUUUUGGGCAAAAAAUUGAUCGGAUCCCCCAAGCAGGCUGAAAAGUGGCCUAAUAUUGGUCGGUGUGGUUAGCGGGGACAUUUGAGUGGUUAAACGGGUGAAAUGGCGCAAACGGAUUAUUUUUUAGCUAAAUCAGUAUGCUAUAGCCCACGGUUCUAGGGGCAGACCCAGGGUCCGAGCGUGUUUUGGGAUGAAAAUAAACUGGACCACCCAGGCAGGCUAAGGAGCGGCCUAGUGUGGGCUGAUGGGGUCGGCGGGGCCAUUUGGAUGGUCAAAUAGGCAAAAUGGAACGAACGAGUUAGUUUUGGGCCAAAUCGGUGCGCUAUAGCCUAAGUUUCUGGAGGUUGUCCCGGGGCACAGGCUUGUUAUGGGCCAAAAAUCAUUCGAUGGCCCCCAAGCAGGCUGAGGGGCGGCCUAGUGUGGGCCAGUGGGGUCGAUGGGGCCAUUUGGAUGGACAAACGGUUGAAACAACACGAGUGAGCCAUUUGGGGCCAAAUAGGUGUGUUAUAACCCGCGGUUCCGAUGGUGGGUCUGGGGCUGGGGUGUGUUUUUGGCCAUAAAUCAACUGGGGGCUCCCAGACAAGCUGAGGAGUGGCCUAGUGUGGGUCGGCGGGGCCAUUUGUGUGGUCAAGUGGGCGAAACGGCGAGAAUAGGCUUUUUUAGGCUAAAUCGGUCUGCUAUAGCUUAUGGUUCCGGAGGAGGGCCCGAGGCUCGGGCGUGUUUUAGGCAAAAAAAAUUGAUUGGGGGCCUCAGACAAGCUGAGAAAUGGCCUAAUCUGGGCCGACGAGGUCGGUGGGGCCAUUUGGGUGGCCAAAUAGGCAAAAUAGCCUGAACGGACAAUUUUUGGGCCAAAUCGUAUGCUAUAGCCUACGGUUCCGAGGGUGGCCUAGGGCCCGGGCGUGCUUAAGGCCAAAAAUUGAUUUGGGCCCCAAGACAAGCUGAGGAGCAGCCAAGUGUUAGUCGGGGAGGUCGGCAGAGCCAUAUAUAUAUAUAUGGGCUUGGGAUACUUAAACAAACUUGUUCAUAAAACCCACAAUCUUGGCUGCACAUAAUAAACUAUUCUGUUCGCUUCAACCUAUGUGAAAGUGUCUAAUUUGGCAUACAAUUGAAAACAACUAAAGACUUUAAAAAUUUGUGUUUAAAAUACUCGCAAUCGAUACGAAGUUGAGGCCGAUCAUGAACGCUAUUGGCCCAACUCAAUAGGGACAAUAUAACCCCCACUUCAAGCGCACCUCCAUAUUGACUGUGAACCAUGUGAGCGCAAAAAAUUCUAUAGCUAAAGAGAAUUUUGAAGUUAAAUUGCUACUUCCUUCGUUUUCAUUUUAGCAAAUCAAGAGAUUUCCGUUCUGAAUAUUAUCUUCAUUAUUAAAGUUAAAUUUAAAAGUAGCUAAAAAUGGAAAGAAACAGCCUUCUUUAAACGGACAAAAGAAGAAAGUAAGACGAACAAAUUGAAAUAGUGAUAAUUUCAAACACUUGCAUUAAGCAAACUCUUAAAAUAGAUUACAAAGUAGAACUCAAGAUCUAUGACUCCAUUUUUUUUAACAUUCCAAUUAGGGAUACAAAGAAAAAGAAGAUUGAAUUUUCUUCUUCUCGUUCCCAUCUCUUUCCAUUACAUACUUAAUUUAGUCACUUGACUGACUGACUUUCUAAUAGCAUUUCCUGUCACUUUCUAUUCACUGUCAGAAUUCAUAUUCUCCUGUUCACCUGGUUGAUAGAUCAUUACUUUUGCAUUUGUCAUAUAAUACCUCUUCUUUUGUUGUCAGGGUUAAGAGAGACGCAUAAAUUUGAACCAUAUUUGUAGUACGAUUUUUUUUUUCAAUAUUUAAAAUUUUUCCUUAUUUUAAAAGUCAAAUCCUU
rnacentral:lncRNA from 1 species